AUUAAUAUUAAGAAUUAAGAUACGUAAAAAAAAUAGUAACUUACUGAUUUGGGAAUGAGAGUCAAUUAAAUUAACUCCUCUCAAGAAAAGAGUCUUCAAUGAUGAGAAUAAAUCUAAUGAUUGUAGUUGAAGAUUGCAACCUGAGCCUAUCAAAUAGUAUAUUUAUAUUUACUUUAUUUCUUUGGAAUAUAUCAAAUUAAUCAAACUAACAAGUAAUUAGUACAUUUAAAUUAAAUUUGGAAUUAGUACCAAUAUUUGAAUCGCAGCUCAUAUGGAGGUCCUCCAAAUUGCUCAAGCCAUCUAAUUCUGAGGAGAAUCAAAAAUUGAAAAGUAAAUACUUUAUUAAUAUAUGUAGACGUCAUUGAAUAAGGAGAAAGAGGAUGAUAUUCAACAGUUUUGUAUAAGAAAUAUUAUUUUACAAUAAUUAAAAAUAUAAUAUUAAAAAAAUAACUAAAAAUUAAAUGUCUAAAAUCACAUUCAACAUAUGUGCCGUUAGAAACCAGUAUUUAUGUAAAUUAAUAUUAAGAAUUAAGAUACGUAAAAAAAAUAGUAACUUACUGAUUUGAGAAUGAGAAUCAAUUAAAUUAACUCCGUCCAAGGAAAGAGUCUUCAAUGAUGAGAAUAAAUCCAAUGAUUGUAGUUGAAGAUUGCAACCUGAGCCUAUCAAAUAGUAUACUUAUAUUUACUUUAUUUCUUUGGAAUAUAUCAAAUUAAUCAAACUAACAAGUAAUUAGUACAUUUAAAUUAAAUUUGGAAUUAGCCACAAUUUUAUUUUAGUAGUACCAAUUGAAUCGCAGCUCAUAUCGAGGUCCUCCAAAUUGCUCAAGCCAUCUAAUUAUGAGGAGAAUCAAAAAUUGAAAAGUAAAUACUUUAUUAAUAUAUGUAGACGUCAUUGAAUAAGGAGAAAGAGGAUGAUAAUUUUACCUUUAAUAUCUAUUGUUCCUUCCAAAUUGGAGCCUCCUAAAGACAAAGUCUUUAGAUUUGAGAGUGUUCCGAGAGAUGACAAUAUGGUAUUGUUGAAGAGAUUGCCAUACAAA
rnacentral:lncRNA from 1 species